ACUCGGAUCGCUCUGGUGACCUUGUCAUUAGAGCGUUCGCCUCGCAUGCGAGAGGUCGCGGGUUUAAAUCCCGCUCAAGUC